GACGAACGCUGGCGGCGUGCUUUAGGCAUGCAAGUCGAACGAGAAAGCCCUUUUAGGGUGAGUACAGUGGCGAACGGGUGAGUAACACGUGGGCAACCUGCCCCUCGCAGGGGGAUAACCGGAGGAAACUCCGGCUAAUACCCCGUACGCUUGCAGGAUCGCAUGUUCCUGCAAGGAAAGGUAGCUUCGGCCAUCCGGCGAGGGAUGGGCCCGCGGCGCAUUAGCUAGUUGGUGAGGUAACGGCUCACCAAGGCGACGAUGCGUAGCUGGUCUGAGA
rnacentral:rRNA from 1 species